AUUGAACGCUGGCGGCAUGCCUUACACAUGCAAGUCGAACGGCAACAGGCUAUCGGCUUCCGACUAGUGGUGGCGGGGUGAGUAAUACUGCGGAACGCGCCCGAACCUGGGGGAUCAUGGGGCGAAACGUUUGCUAAUAUAGCCUACGAUCUCAGGCUGCCAGCAGGGGACCGCAAGGCCUUUUCCGAACUUAGCGGCCGAUGGCGGAUUAGGUAGUUGGUGGGAUAAAGGCUUACCAAGCCGACGAUCUGUAGCUGGUCUGAGAGGAUGAUCAGCCACACUGGGACUGAGACACGGCCCAGACUCCUACGGGAGGCAGCAGUGGGGAAUAUUGGACAAUGGGCGCAAGCCUGAUCCAGCCAUACCGCGUGCGUGAUGAAGGCCUUCGGGUUGUAAACUGCUUUUGUACGGAACGAAAAGCAGUCGUUUAAUACAGGGGGGUCAUGACGGUACCGUAAGAAUAAGCACCGGCUAACUACGUG
rnacentral:rRNA from 1 species